rnacentral:misc_RNA from 1 species
GUGAAUCAUCGAAUCUUUGAACGCAAAUUGCACUCUCCUCUGAGAGUAUGCCUGUUUGAGUGUCAGCCUAUAAAAAAUCGACAUCGUUUCGGUUUCGCUGUGGCGGGCGGCGGAAAUGGGGUCAUCUUAGAUCAUUUGGAUUUAAGCGACUUAAAAUGUGCUUUUGGUGCCAGGAAAGUUUCUAAGAUCU